GACGUAGGGCGCGAGCGUUGUCCGGAUUUAUUGGGCGUAAAGAGCUCGUAGGCGGCUUGUCGCGUCGACUGUGAAAACCCGCGGCUCAACUGCGGGCUUGCAGUCGAUACGGGCAGGCUAGAGUUCGGUAGGGGAGACUGGAAUUCCUGGUGUAGCGGUGAAAUGCGCAGAUAUCAGGAGGAACACCAGCGGCGAAGGCGGCGCUCUGGGCCGGUACUGACGCUGAGGAGCGAAAGCGUGGGGAGCAAACAGG
rnacentral:rRNA from 1 species